rnacentral:rRNA from 1 species
GUGUCAGCAGCCGCGGUAAAACGUAGGUGGCAAGCGUUAUCCGGAUUCACUGGGCGUAAAGCGCACGCAGGCGGCGCGGUUGGUAGGGCAUGAAAGCUCCUGGCUUAACUGGGAGAUGCUGUCCUAUACCGCCGCGCUUGAGGCUGGAAGAGGGAAGUGGAAUUGCCGGUGUAGUGGUGAAAUGCGUAGAGAUCGGCAGGAACACCAGUGGCGAAGGCGGCUUCCUGGUCCACGCCUGACGCUCAAAUGCGAAAGCUAGGGGAGCGAACGGGAUUAGAAACCCCAGUAGUCC